UCCUCUACUAUGAUGAUGUCAUGGUAUGCGUUUCAGUUAAUUAGAUUUUUGUGUACUUCAUCUUUCAGAUCAUUGGAUAUCCUUGAUUAAAGGUAUAGAAAAUCCAAAAUUUGAUACUGUUCCCAUGAAAAGGCUGAGGAAAUAAUUAAUGCAACUCAUAAGCACUAGUAUCUGCAUAUGAUCUCCAUAAAUUAGCAUCUUUUGUGGUUUGUUCUAUUAGUUGUCCAAUGAUAUUAUCUAAUUAUAAAUUAUCUCUAUGCUAUUAGAAUUGUGUUCUUUUUAAACUACAGUUUUGUUGGCAUGAGAAAUUCUGGUAAAGAUAGGGACAUUUGAAUCUUACAGAUGUUGGGUGUUUUGGCUUGUCAUUAUCCCAAUAAUGCAUCUAAAAAUCCUUCUCCUCUCUCUGUAUUAUUUGACCACAGAAAAAUAUAGUCACUCACACAUUGAUCUUGCAGCCUGUGGAUUACGAGCCUCCAUUCUUCAGAAGCUGCUCAGAACAAGAAGCUCAUAAUCCAUGGAUAAAAAAUCCUCUGGAAAUGGAGGUUGGGAAUGUCAACAGCAAGCAUUUAGUAUUAGCUCUCAAGGAGGCCUGAAUGUGGAAGGGGAGGCAGACAACUGGGAUUUUGGUGUAGGCAUGUAGAACAAUGAAGACUACAACUUUAAUGCUAAGACAUGAUUUUUGAAUAUAUGUUAGUUUGUGGUUAAUGCUAAGACAUAAUUUUUGGAUAUAUGUUAGUUUGUGAUUUAAUGUUAAAACAUGAUUUUUGGAUUUUGAAUAUAUUAAU